AAAAUAUCCGCCAGAGAACUACGAGCAAAACGCUUAAAACUCUAAGGACUUGGCGGUACCUUAAACCCCCCUAGAGGAGCCUGUUCUAUAAUCGAUAAUCCACGAUCUACCUCACCAUCUCUUGCCAAUACCGCCUAUAUACCGCCGUCACCAGCCUACCCUAUGAAGGAUAUAAAAGUAGGCAAAAUCGCACAACAGCUAACAAGUCAGGUCAAGGUGUAGCUUACUGAGAUGGAAGAAAUGGGCUACAUUUUCUAAACUAGAAAUCAUUUCACGGAAAGAACUAUGAAACAAGUUCUAAAAGCAGGAUUUAGCAGUAAAUAAGGAUCAGAAUGCCCAAUUUAAGCCGGUCCUAAGGUACGCACACACCGCCCGUCACCCUCUGC
rnacentral:rRNA from 1 species